UCUGGUUGAUCCUGCCAGUAGUCAUAUGCUUGUCUCAAAGAUUAAGCCAUGCAUGUCUAAGUUCACACUGUCUCACGGUUGAAACCGCGAGAAUGGCUCUUAUUAAAUCAGUCUAUGUUUAUUAUAUGAAAACUAUCCUUCUUGGAUAACUGUGGGGCAAUUCUAGAGCUAAUACAUGCUUACCAAGCUCCGACCCUCGUGGAAAGAGCGCUCUUUUAUUAAUUUCAAAACACCCAAUCGCCGUUGCCCUUCGCGGGGAGCGGCGUCCCGAUUGGUUGACUCUGGAUAUAACUUUGUGCUGAUCGCAUGGCCCUUAGUGUUCUGGCCACGAAUCUUUCACAUUUCUGACCUAUCAAAUGUCGAUGGUAGGCAUAUCACGUACCAUUUUUUAACCGGGUUAACGGGGAAUCAAGGUUUCGAUCCGGAAGAAGGAAGCAUGAGGAAACGGCUCCCACAUCCCAAGGAAAGGCAGCAGUCGCGCACAACUUACCCACCCCCGGCACGUGGAGGUAGUGACAAAAAGAACAAUACGGGACUCUCCGAGGCCCCGUAAUUGGAAUGAGUACUUUUUAAACCCUUUAACGAGGAUCAAUUGGAGGGCAAGUCUGGUGCCAGCAGCCGCGGUAAUUCCAGCUCCAAUAGCGUAUAUAAUAAAGUUGUUGCAGUUAAAAAGCUCGUAGUUGGAUCUCAGGCGCAGGCGGGCGGUCCGGCUCGCGCCGGCUCACUGCCCGUUGUCUCCUGCCCUACCCGUCUGCCGGCUCUCUCCCGUUGGUGCUCUUCGCUGAGCGUCCCGGGUGGCCGGCGCUUUUACUUUGAAAAAAUUAGAGUGUUCAAAGCAGGCCGAGCUGCCUGAAUAAUGGUGCAUGGAAUAAUGGAAUAGGACCUCGGUUCUAUUUUGUUGGUUUUCGGAACUGGAGGUAAUGAUUAACAGGGACAAACGGGGGCAUUCGUAUUGCGGCGUUAGAGGUGAAAUUCUUGGAUACCCGCAAGACGAACUACUGCGAAAGCAUUUGUCAAGAAUGUUUUCAUUAGUCAAGAACGAAAGCCAGAGGCGCGAAGACGAUCAGAUACCGUCGUAGUUCUGACCAUAAACUAUGCCACCUGGCCAUCCGCAGGAGAUGCUUCGAUGACUCUGCGGGCGGCCUCCGGGAAACCAAAGGUUUUGGGUUCCGGGGGAAGUAUGGUUGCAAAGCUGAAACUUAAAGGAAUUGACGGAAGGGCACCACCAGGAGUGGAGCCUGCGGCUUAAUUUGACCCAACACGGGAAAACUCACCCGGUCCGGACACUGUAAGGAUUGACAGAUUGAUAGAUCUUUCUUGAUUCGGUGGGUGGUGGUGCAUGGCCGUUCUUAGUUGGUGGAGCGAUUUGUCUGGUUAAUUCCGAUAACGAUCGAGACUCUAGCCUAUUAAAUAGUUCGCCGGUUCCUCGAUGCGCCGGCGCAACUUCUUAGAGGGACGAGUGGCGUUUAGCCACACGAAAUUGAGCAAUAACAGGUCUGUGAUGCCCUUAGAUGUCCGGGGCCGCACGCGCGCUACACUGAAGGAAUCAGCGUGGAUGCCUCCCUGGCCCGAAAGGGUUGGGAAACCCGUUGAAUCUCCUUCGUGCUAGGGAUUGGGGCUUUGUAACUGUUCCCCAUGAACGAGGAAUUCCCAGUAAGCGCGAGUCAUAAGCUCGCGUUGAUUACGUCCCUGCCCUUUGUACACACCGCCCGUCGCUACUAUCGAUUGAGCGGUUCAGUGAGGGCCUCGGAUUGGUCUCGGUCUGGCGUGCAAGCGCCGGCACCGUUGGCCGAGAAGACGCUCGAACUCGAUCGCUUGGAGAAAGUAAAAGUCGUAACAAGGUUUCCGUAGGUGAACCUGCGGAAG
rnacentral:rRNA from 1 species